ACUCGAACAUCGGUUCCGAAAC
rnacentral:miRNA from 12 species